AGUCAUAUGCUUGUCUCAAAGAUUAAGCCAUGCAUGUCUCAGUAUAAGCUUCUACACGGCGAAACUGCGAAUGGCUCAUUAAAACAGUUAUAGUUUAUUUGAUGAUGGACUACAUGGAUAACCGUAGUAAUUCUAGAGCUAAUACAUGCUGUAAGCCUGACUUUACGGAAGGGUUGUAUUUAUUAGAUCCCAAACCAAUAGUUUCGACUAUUGUGAUGAAUCAUAAUAACUGGUCGGAUCGGGUCAUACUCGAUGGAUCAUUCAAGUUUCUGCCCUAUCAGCUUUCGAUGGUAGUGUAUUGGACUACCAUGGCGAUAACGGGUAACGGGGAAUUAGGGUU
rnacentral:rRNA from 1 species